ensembl:lncRNA
UAAGAUCCUCAGUGUUUUCUCCUACAGAUGAAGUGAAGAAUAACGGAGAAUUGUUGGAAAAAUGUAAGUUUUUGACGCCGGUCUGAACAGUCGCGUUUGGGUACGGGAACAGACCAGUCGUUCAGGAACAUUUGAGCGUGGUGGUCUUGGUCCAGUUCCAGGUGACCUCUAGCGUGCUUCGAGUGCAGUGAGAAAGCAAUUUAACUCUGGCUUACUUCCUGCAGUCGGGUCGAUUCAAACAUGACAUAAGAUGCGGGCAGCAUUAUUUUAUAGAGGUGAGCUGCUAAACUGAGCUUGUAGCACUGCAGAAAUGCAACGUGUUGUGGAUAUUUUGGACUGUUAAAUAACAAUAGAAAAGCUGGAUGUUAUAAAUAAAAUGUCUUAAACUUAUUUAUAUACAGUCAUGUGAAAGUAUAAGCACACGCCAUGGAAAUGGUUGGUUUUCUUGCAUGUACUGCCCGUUUCAAAUUUGAAUCAAUGAAUGCAAGCUGUCCAGUCGCUGAGGCAGCGAUGCAACCCCAAACCAUAAUAUUUCCACCACCGUGCUGCCCAGUUGGUAUAAGGUGCUUCUUCAUGUCUGCUGUAACUGGGGCGGCUGUGGAUCAGGUGGUAGAGCGGGUCGUCCACUAAUCGUAGGGUUGGCGGUUCGAUUCCCGGCCCACGUGACUCCACAUGCCGAAGAGUCCUUGGGCAAGACACUGAACCCCAAGUUGCUCCCGAUGGCAAGUUAGCACCUUGCAUGGCAGCUCUGCUACCAUUGGUGUGUGAGUGUCUUUGUGAAUGGGUGAAUGAGAACCAGUGUAAAGCUCUUUGGAUAAAAGCGCUUUAUAAUAUAUAUGUAUAUACUUUAUAUAUAUAUGCAGACCAUUUACCGUGGCCAGACAAGUGUAUCUUUGAUUCGUCUGUCCAGAGCACAUUAUUCCAAAAGGCCUGGUCUUUGCCUGUAUGCUCAUUGGCAAACUAAACGGUCUUACAAAGGCUUUUUCCUGGCACGCUUCCCAUGCAGGUCAAAUUUGUGCAAUCUUGUAGGGUUCUUGGAGACUUCUGUUUGCAUCAGACGGGUUGAAUUUGCUGGGACGGCCAGUCCUGGAGAAAUUGGCAGUCUUCUGAAAUCUGCGCCACUUGUAGAUGAUUAUCCUUACAGCGGAAUGAUGUAUUUCAAAUCAUUUGGAGAUCUUUUUAAAUCCCUUGCCAGACUCAUAGGCAUCCAUAACUUUAAAAAAAAAAAAAAAAAAUUUAUUUAUUUUUUUUAACAGAACUUUUUAGAUCUUGGCAUGAUGACACCACACACCUCAAUACUAAAAGGAACACCAGACACUAUGAGAGGGGUAUAAAUAAGACCGGUUCCGCCUGCACUCCCUAAGCAGGUUCUAAUCACUGGCACUCAAUCUUAAUAUUACGGAUUUGAAGGCGUGAUAAAUGUAGGGGUGUACUUACUUUUUUCCAUGUGACCGGUCUGUUUUUUUGUUCAUUUAAACUGUGAAAAUUUUAUGUGUCAUUUGAUAGUGUAUCAUCUUUAUUAAUAGGCGCGGUUUCAAAGAGGA